rnacentral:rRNA from 1 species
UACAGAGACCUCAAGCGUUAUCCGGAAUCAUUGGGCGUAAAGCGUACCGAUAGGUGGUUUACUAAGUUUUGGGUAAAGGCCAGAAGCUUAACUUCUGCGUUUGCUCAAGAUACUGGUAGACUAGAGGGACAAAGAGGUUGCUGGAACGAACGGUGUAGCGGUGAAAUGCUUAGAUAUCGUCCAGAACACCGAUAGCGAAGGCAGCUUACUAAGGAGUAACUGACGCUGAGGCACGAAAGUGUGGGGAUCAAACAGG